GUUGAAGUCUCUGUAAGCACGCUAUUUCUGCAGAGAUGACAAGAGAAUUUGCCGGACGAGCGACAAACGUACUGGUAUGCGAUGAGGCAAGGCUAAAAGCCCUUUUUUUGUUACCAUGGCAUGUGUCUAGUUUCACAUGCAUGCAGGUAUGUUGAGAAGGUGUAUUUUUAUCAUAAUCGAUCUGGCUUUCCUCCCUCCCAAGACAUCAGGGAUGACCUUCAGAGUAGGCGGACUUUACAAAUACAUACAGGUUUGGUGCCAACGCUGAGGUGAAUGAACUGCUACACUCUACCCCCCAAAACACCAGUACACACACAAAUAGCAGCAUACACACACCCUUCUUAUUCUUUAUCCUGUCGCAAUCACACACUUUCUCUUGCAGUGAUUAACAUCAACACCUUUGCAGAUGCUUUUGGGUUUCCAGCUGGCCUGCAGGUGCUCUGUGUGUGUGUGUGUGUGUGUUGACGCUCCUGCUUCCCUUGGGCUGUGUUUGCUGGUGUAGUGUAUCAGUGGGCCAGCAGCGUGGCGCCAUCCGUCCUGCUCCCACCACCAGCCCCCAGAAUGCAUUACACACCAAUCGAACACAGCCAUUCGGGAUAACUCCACUUUUACCUAUUGGACAGGACUGCUGUUAGGGGCUUUUGUCCAGUCUCUCUCUCCCCCUCUCCUCUUGCGCUCGUUCUGUUGAAAGGGUCAUGUUACACAAGCGGUGGAGACCACCUCGGUGGGAGUUUGUGAGGGGCUAACACACACACACACACACAAACGUAGAAGUCUUUGUAGUAGUCGAACAGGUGAUUCAGUGGAUGUCACGACUAUGUGACAUUUGGAAAUAAUCAUUGGUUUUAUUUCAAAGAUUAUAAUCCAUGUUAUAUUUUUUUGACCGUCUAGUCAUCAUUUACCCUAUAGUCAUUCCAAACCUGUAUGUCUUAAAUAAAUAUAAGUAAAAUAUAUAUAUAUUUCCAGCUUUUUGUCCAUUGGCGAAUGAAAAACAACAGUUUAAGCCUUCAUCAAAAUAUCUUAUUUUGAGUUCUGCAAAACAGAGAAGUUACGGGUUUGAUAUCAUGAAAAUACUUUGAUAUGAUUGAAUUGAGGUAUCAAUAUAGUAUGUUUCUGGCUCUACCUAUGAGAAAGCAAUGUUUUAAAAGACCGUGGUAGCUAAUAAGUUUGUUGCUUGCUGUUUCUUCUAAAUAUAGAAAAAAGAAUGUGGGAAUUUCCACUUAUUUAAUUAGAUAUGAUUCUUAACAUGAACUGCAGGCCGUACAUAUCCAUGCUACUUUCACGUACAUAAGUCCUAAAUGUUGCGAGACACGUUCACAAGAAUUGACGUGUGUCGCUAAGUGAUGAAGAUAAGCAGUGGUGUGCUUUGACCUUUGCUGCCAGCGUGCUUGUGCCCUACUGCAGACAAGGGGCUUGAGAUAUCUUAUGCCUCAGUCGCACCAGGAAGUGGACCAGAAUAGCUCUCAACGUGUGAAUGAGACUGAUGAGUGUGUUCCGGACUGUCAGUAAUAUAUGUGUGUGUGUGUUAGUACAUUAUGUAUUCUUGUCUAAAAUAUGAAAAAAAACAAAGCAUUGCUUUUGGAUUAUUGAUUAGAAAAAUAAAAAGUAGAUUGGCAUUUCAGUUGAAGCAGCAUAUCAUUUAUUUAUCAAUUGUCAAUUAUUGAAAAAAUGAAAAUUUAUCACUAUUGCUCCCAAGAACACUUUGAUCAUUGUACCUUCUAAUCUACGAUUCAUCACUUAGCAAUAUAUUUUAGAUGAAAUUUAGCUUGUAUGUAAUUUAAGGGUAUAUGAUACGUAAUGUGUAUUAUAUGUGUAUCUAUAAAAUCUAUAAAAAUGUAUGAGCAGUUUCCAAAAGUCACAAAAAUUGAAAUCAAAUACUAAAUUAAAUCUGAAAAUAAAUGUAAUAAAGAACUAAUAUGAUAAAGAUUAAUAAUGAAGCGAAGAAUCUU